UGUCGCCUCUAGGCUUGAUUGGCGCGAAUUUGCCAUUACAGAUGUUAAAUCAAGAUGGUGAGUCGAUCGACAGCUCUUGGCAUACAUCGCACGAAGUUGCCGUGAACUCCUGAACAUUCCCGGAGGAGAGUGCGGCCGGUGAUGUUGGAAUCAUUGCACGCGCGGUCUACUGCUUGAAGGAAAGGAGACUGCAGUCAGAGUGAGACGACGAGGAGAGGAGAGGAGAGAGGAAAGUGGUGCGUGGUGUGAGGAGCGUGGAGGCAGCCACGUGGGUGCGCCACGCAUGCUGCCGCAGCAAGACGGCGAGUGACUCCAGCUCUACGCGAGAUGCCGGGACUGUGCGAGACAUAGAGUCAUAGAGACGGUGCAUUACAACACGAGACAGGGACGGCGUGAGACACCGCGGCGACAAGAAGUAGAGACUGUGUAAGGCAGUGCACAAGAUAAUAAUGGUGUAAGACACUGGAACAGCCAGAGACAGAUGGUGUGAGUCAAUGGAGACAUAGGAGGAGGUGAGAGACGCCGGAACUACAAGAAACAGAGACGGUGUGAGAUAUAGGAUUGUUGCAGAUACCAAGACAA